AUUGAACCUUGUUGUAAGUCGCUUUGGAUAAAAGCGUCAGCUAAAUGACAUGUA
rfam:Gasterosteus aculeatus cont1.002720, whole genome shotgun sequence.